AAGCUUAGAGGUUGAAAAGUAUCCGCCUCUUCCAACGCGCCACCGAAAUGGUGGGAACAGAAAUGCGGGCGACCAAAGGCGGUCCCGCCUAAGCUU
rnacentral:ncRNA from 12 species